rnacentral:lncRNA from 1 species
AGCUAUAUAAUAUGAUAUAUAAAUAAUAUACAAAUAUGUGCAUCAUUAUAAUAUAUAAUAUGUAUAAAUAUAUAAUUAUAUAUGCACAUUGGAAUAUAUUUUAAAACAAUAAUCUUUAUAUAUGUAUAAUGAUAUAUUUUAAAUAAUACAUAGCAAGGCCACAAACAGAAAGAGAUGUUUUCUAAGCAUCUGUUGCUUGCCUAGGAGAUGGAAGUCUGGUGCUUUGCCUUAGAAGCAGGUGAGAGCAUGCAAGGCAGGACUGCCUGGUUUUGAUCCCUGGCUCCACUCCUUCCCUUCAUCUUUCUGAGCCUCAGAUUUAGCAUUUCGAGACACAAAGAAUUGUUUCUCCUUUGCAAUAUAUUCUUAACUAGAAGUUCCAGAGGGUGGCAGACGGUCAGGGAUAGCGAGAGAAGAAAGUCAACAUCAUAUUCCCGGGGGGCAGAUCUAGGGGGCCAGCAGGAAUUGCAGUGCAGCCUCUGAAGGUUUUAUCAGCCCAGCGGUGAGCACUGACUUAAGCUUAUCUCUUCCAACCUGUUCCACAGGCCAGAGGUUCUAUAAAUUGUUAAUAGGUGUGUUUCGAAGAUGUUCCUAAAUAAAAUAAGUUUGACAAACCCUUGGAUAAACACAUUUAAAUAACAGUCCUUACAGCUUUAAAAAUAUUUAAUAUGCAUUUCAAUACUGCAAGAAACACAUAUUAUGGAUCAGAUCCCAAAUUUAUUUCACUAUGAUUUCCUUUUUCUCCCCUUUAUCAUACAACUAUUAUUAUAUUCCAAAGGUAGAAAAUAGAACUUCAUUAGACAAGUAGUAGUUUGUUUGUUUUUGGUCCUUAUAUUCCAUGGAGAAGAACUGAAUAAGCAAAUUAGUUUAGAAAGAAAGAAUAAAAUGUUAUUUAUAACUAGCAACUGAUAACGUUUUACAACUUAAACAUACUUUCAUAUACAUUAUUUUCUUCAGUAGCAUAUUUUCUUUGUUUGUACUCACUUCCUAACCCUCUACCUCAUUUCCCAUUUCUUGAAAUCAAAAGGUUAGGCACACCUAAGGACCCAGACAUUCCAGUCCCAAGUAAAUAUCUCCUCGUAAAGCAGUUUGCUUAUCUGAGCUAAAGGACAUUCAUUGCAACAUUGGGAGCAAAAAAGGAGAAAUCAUCUAAUGUUUACAAAAGGGGGAAUGGGUAAACAAAAUUCAGGCAGCCAAUACGUGUUGGUUACAAUGAAUCACCUAUCUCUGUGUGUAACUACGGAUAAAUCUUUAAAGCAUAAUUUUAAGUGAAAAUUAAUAGAACAUAGUUAAAAGAUGCAACUAUAUGAUAUUUUAAAUCAUCGGCAAAUAGUAAUGAGAAAGAAGAGUUAGUAUAGGUAAUGAUGACAGGGUGAAGUGAGUUAAUUGUGCAUCCCUUAGGUAAUUAAAGGAUUGUUAAUAUAAGGCUUAAGAAAUUAGGAGAGAUGCAGUUGUAUUAAAUGCCCUUCCCUUUACUGUCUCUUGUGUUGCUCUGUACUUACUGAGAAUCACGAUCCAGAUUUCCUUUAUCCACCCCUCUGCUAAUGACACAAACAUGUACAUUUCCACCUCACACUUCUCCUUUGAAUAGUGAGCCUGUAUAUCUUUUGGCCCCCUUGAAUAUCUCACAGACAACUCAAGUGACAUGUCCCAAGUGAUUCAGUAUUAUACACUUCUUUUUCUCUGCCACAAAGAAAUAAAAAAGUUCCUCCUCUUCUUGGAUAGUCCAUAUCUUCCAAGUGACUCUCAAGCCGAAAUCUGCUUGUUAAUCCCCGUUCACCACCAAACAAUAUCAUCAAACCCUUUCAGUUCUUUCUCCUAAAUUUCUAGUCAGCCCAGCCCCUCCUCUCCAUUGCUUCUCCCGCUGCCCUUAUUUGACUUAUUCUAAUAAUUGUUUCUUGUGUUACUGUGAUACCUCCUUAAAUGUCUCUGUGCCUCUAGUCCUACUGUUCUCAGAAAAAAAUCCUCCACAUGUUUGUAAGCUCGUUCCACCCUCCGUGUGUCAUAUCUCAGCUCUUCAUAAAAUCAUUUGAUGGUAUCCCUUAAUUUUUAGAUGAAAUGUAAACAACUUGGCAUGGCUUCAAAAAGUUCCCAUGCUUUAACACUGCUAAUCCCUUUAACUAUUCCAUCUUACCACCCAUUCUUUCUUUUUCUCCUUCCCUUCUUCUUCUCCACCCUUGGCUCUCCUAGACUUCAGGCAUAAUAACCUACACAUCUUUUUCUGUAUGUUUCUGUUUGCCCAUAAUGCCCUUUAUAACCCUGGUCCUCCAGUGUUCCUUCAUUUCCCUUAUUCCUGUUAAGGAAUACAAUUACCUUGUAUCUUUUUUAUUUGAAUAACUUUAAUUUGGAAAAUAACUUAUACUUGUGAAUGCCUUAAAAAGGAAAUAAAUUUGUUAAAGUCAAGUUCUGAAAAAUAGAAAAUUGAUAAGAUAAUGGUUAUGACAGGAGUUCCCGUUGUGGAUCAGUGGGUUAAGAACCUGAUAUAGUGUUGGUGACAUGGGUUCGAUCCCUGGCCUCACUCAGUGGGUUAAGGAUCCAGUGUUGCCACAGGCUGCAGUGAACAUCACAGAUGCAACUUGGAUUUGACCCCUAGCCCAGGAACUUCCAUGUGCUGCGUUUGCAGCUGUAAAAAGAAAAAAGAAAAG